rnacentral:rRNA from 1 species
ACGGGGUGCAGCAGGCGCGAAACCUCUGCAAUAGGCGAAAGCCUGACAGGGUUACUCUGAGUGAUUCCCGCUAAGGGGAUCUUUUGGCACCUCUAAAAAUGGUGCAGAAUAAGGGGUGGGCAAGUCUGGUGUCAGCCGCCGCGGUAAUACCAGCACCCCGAGUGGUCGGGACGAUUAUUGGGCCUAAAGCAUCCGUAGCCGGUCAUGCAAGUCCUCCGUUAAAUCCACCUGCUUAACAGAUGGGCUGCGGAGGAUACUACAAGGCUAGGAGGCGGAAGAGGCAAGCGGUACUCAGUGGGUAGGGGUAAAAUCCUCUGAUCCAUUGAAGACCACCAGUGGCGAAGGCGGCUUGCCAAUACGCGCUCGACGGUGAGGGAUGAAAGCUGGGGGAGCAAACCGGAUUAGAUACCCGGGUAGUCCCAGCUGUAAACGAUGCAGACUCGGUGAUGGGCCGGCUUUAUGCCGGCUCAGUGCCGCAGGGAAGCCGUUAAGUCUGCCGCCUGGGGAGUACGGUCGCAAGACUGAAACUUAAAGGAAUUGGCGGGGGAGCAC